GACGAACGCUGGCGGCGUGCUUAACACAUGCAAGUCGAGCGAUGAAGUUCCUUCGGGAAUGGAUUAGCGGCGGACGGGUGAGUAACACGUGGGUAACCUGCCUCAUAGAGGGGAAUAGCCUUCCGAAAGGAAGAUUAAUACCGCAUAAGAUUGUAGUAUCGCAUGAUACAGCAAUUAAAGGAGCAAUCCGCUAUGAGAUGGACCCGCGUCGCAUUAGCUAGUUGGUGAGGUAACGGCCCACCAAGGCGACGAUGCGUAGCCGACCUGAGAGGGUGAUCGGCCACAUUGGGACUGAGACACGGCCCAGACUCCUACGGGAGGCAGCAGUGGGGAAUAUUGCACAAUGGGGGAAACCCUGAUGCAGCGACGCCGCGUGAGUGAUGACGGUCUUCGGAUUGUAAAGCUCUGUCUUCAGGGACGAUAAUGACGGUACCUGAGGAGGAAGCCACGGCUAACUACGUGCCAGCCGCCGCGGUAAAAC
rnacentral:rRNA from 1 species